CUAACACAGAUUAUGAUAAGAUUACUACUCACAGUACAAUUUUUGAAAUACCAACUUGUCACCUUGGACAAUUGAUAGGAAUCCCUUCGAUCGAAUCUAAAAUCAUAUCAUAUCAAAUCUCAAGUUAAUUCUCUUAUUUAGGGUAAUUCCAUGAUAAAAUUAGACUACUCAACCCUCGGGUUUCCAUGGUAACCUUCAAUUUCUUAAAUUUCAUGUCCAAAACCACACCUUAAAAUGAUGAAACCUAUCUUUGAUAAUUAAAUUUUACUACCCAAAAUAAAUUAUAAAAGCUAAAAAUCAUGAUAAAGAUAUAAGAACGGAUUUACCUUUAACCUGGAAGAAUUUUCUAAUCAACCUUAAACCUUUCUUUUCUUUUAACUGAAGGAAAAAUUGAUUUUUUCCCUCUUCAGCGUGAUUGGCAGAUUAGUUACUGCCUUAGUUGUUCCUAACCUUUGCCUUCUUAAUCCUUUGAUGGAAAAAGCCCUUUUUGUCAAUAUAUAAUAUAUUGUUUUUCCCAAUUUAAUUUGAAUUGGAUAUGGGCCACGACCCUAAUUGGAUAUGGGCCACGACCCUAACUUUUCUAAAUUCUUUUCCAUUUUCUUAUUAAUAUGGGCUUUAGCCCAUAUCUCUUAUAAAAUAUUUUUUCUCAAUUAUAAUUACUCACUAAUUAUAAGUUGGGGUAUUACAUUCUCCCCACCUUAAGAAAUUCGAUCCACGAAUUUAGAGUAAGUGCAUACCUGAAGACUGAAACAAGUGAGGGUACUUGAGUCUUAUAUCUUUUUCUGACUCCCACGUAGCUUCUUCGAUGGUAUGAUUUUUCCAUAACACUUUCACGGACACCAACUCUUUCGACCGUAACCUUCUUACUUAUCGAUCAAUGAUAGCACAGGUUCCUCCUCAUAGGUUAAGUUCUCAUCAAGUUGCAAGGUUGGUGCUUUGAGUACGCGCGAAGAAUCUGAUAUACACUUUCUUAGCAUAGAGACAUGAAACACUGGAUGGACGAAAGACAUAUAGGGAGGGAGUGACACUCGAUAAACCACUCGUCCUAUUAGGGUUGUGCAAAUUUUGGUCCAAACCUCUAACCCAAACCGAUAAUAUGUUUAUCGGGUUAACGGUUUGUUUUUUUCUCUAUCGGGUUGGAUUUCAGGGCAAAGAUUUUUGAAAUCAGGUUAUCGGUUCGGGCCUUAAUUUAUUUACCCUUUUUAUUGGGUGGCCCGAUAACCCGAUAUCCCAAUAUAAACAACACAAUAUACAUGACUGUUGAGCCCAUUUAUUCAUGUCCCAUUAGUGUCAUUACCGUUUGGCCUAAAGGCCCAAUAUCCCAAUACCCAUUUUAACUCUAUCAGUGAAAUAAGUCAAAUAAGUGAAUUAGCCAGAAGCCACUUAGGGUUUUUUCACAAUUCACAUUUCAUAAACACAGAAACACUCGUGCGACUUCUCUUGCUCAGUUGCUUUCUUAGUGGCGCCUCUCCUCGUCAGUACUUAGUCGUCUCUCACUCUUAAGUCUCAGCAUUCAUACGAAGAAGAGGUAUUCAAGCUCACACCAAAGAGGCAAAGAUGAUUUGCUGCGCUCAACAGAAACAGUUGUAAAGUAGUGGAAGAAGGGAGGAUAUUGAUAAACCCCACUCAAUGGCGACGGCGACAAGGCCUGGUAUUCCAAAGUCGGAAGCUAUUUCCAAAGGCUACAAUUUCGCUUCUACUUGGGAACAGGUUAUGGUUCAAUCUCUAUCUACCCUUACUUAUUUUCUACAUUUCUCUGAUUUCCUCCAGAUCUUAUUAGAUUUGUGUAAAAGCAUAAUCAAAAUUAUUUAGAUCUCUUCUUCUAUGAAAAAUUUGAUGACCGCAUUUGCCCAAAUAAAUGAAUAGUAUAGUGAUGUUUCUAAGGAGAUUAAAAUAUUUGCUACUGAAUUUGAUGUAUUCGUACUUAGUCCUCUAUUUGAUUUUAGUGUGUCGUUGCAAAUUGAGGAAAAUAAUUGGAACUAUUUUUGAAACGCUCUGACGGCAAAUUGCCGUAAUUUAUAUUUUUAACCUACGCAAUUUGACACUUUUUAAGGCUGCAAAAUUGCAAGUAAACUUUAAAUAAUAUAGUAUUUAAUCAAAAUAAACUAUAUGAAGUGGGCCAAAAAAUGGCUGAGGAGGAAAUAAUAUAAGAAUGACCGAUAAUUGAUAAUUGAGGGAGGUUAUCCCUGUCUGUCACAAUGUGCAUUGUUUACUUAUUCAGAGACUUCUUUGAUUUCCUUGUCUGACUUUGUGUAGUCAUAAAAGAAAUUUGGGCACAUGUCAUGGAGCUCCACUUGCAUUAUUCAUUUGUUGAAUUAGACGUGGUUUGGCUAAUUCUCUUCCAUUUCCCUGUUAGAUGUUAACUUAAUGUUCAUAAUUAACUGACAGAUUAACGAUUCAAAGUUUUAUCAUGCAUGGUACUGUCUUCAACUAACUGAUUAAUAAAGGUUUCGUUGAUCGAGUGUUCGGAUCUCCGAUUAACCGAUUAAUGUGAUUUCUAAGAAAAGGAGAGAGAAAAUUGUUUCUUUAUGUGAUAAAGUCCUCUCAUUUGAUUUCGUUUGAUUUCACUACCUGUGUUUGUUGCUUCUUUUCAAUGGAAAGUUUUAGCAUCUGGUAAUUAUGUCGCAUAUUCUCAAUUAAACUAUCUUUUCAUGUUUUAUUCUCAUUGUAAUGGGACACUGUCACGACCCGAGGCUACCCCCUAGUUGUAACACGGUGCUUAAGGCCACAAGUGACCCCAAGCUAACCCAUGAACUGGUACCUGUUGUGAGCACUGAAUAAAGUAAUAAUAAAACAUCAUGUGCGGAAGUUAAACUGAUAAACUUAUGUUAAGUUGUAAUACUGAAACAAAUACCAACGUGUUUGAACUACUGAUAAAAAUUGAAAACAAGUUUGAAUAUCUGAACAUAUGAAAGCCUCUAAGACAUGAGGAGUUGAUGGGACAAAUCCCCAACUAACUUCGACCGACUGAAAUAAAGAAAGUAUUGAAAAUAACUGCAAAUAACUUGUCCUCGAUGGAUGAGGACUCACCACAACUGCUGCUGAGUGGCACUGGACUGACUAAGGGCGAUCGGGGAAUUGAGCAUCCGAACCUAUAGUGUGAAAUCAUAUAGCGCAAAAGAGAGUAUGCAGUCAGUACAUGGAAUGUACUGGUAUGUGAGAUAGAGACAACUAAGAUACAUUUAAGUACUGGGCAUAAAUGCAUGGACAUGUAGGAAGAAUGCAAAACCAAGUAAAACAUGAACUAAGAUAAUCUGUAAAAUGAAUAACUAAUAAACUUAACACUUGGUCACACAAACUUGAGCUGAUAUGGUCUGAAUACUGAACUGAGAUUGUGGGAGCUAACUACAACUGACAUGCCCCAAUCUGAGUUAUCCGGGUCCAACCUGUAACCCCUGUUGGAAGGGUGAUGGUACCUUGCCAGGGGUACCAACACAUGACUGACGAUGUGGAUUCACAAGGUUGAUGUCCCGAAGGACGAGGGUGUUAUGCCUCUACUGACAGGGGGCCCCUCAUAAUCUACGGUGGCGCCAUAGGUCUGGAACUAAGGGACUGCUAUUAACGACUCAUGCCUAACUGACGGGGGAGCCUCUAUCCCUGCGUUCACUCGGUGCUAAGUGUUACUCCCAACUGAAUGACAUUGGUAUUAUUAUUCGUUUAACAUGAUGUGGUACUGUUAAGUGCUCAGCAUGAACAUGAUACUUUGAAUAUGAAAAUAAAAUCAUGAUUUGACUGACUUGUUACUUGAAAAUAAAAACAUGUAUAAACAUAUAGGUAUCAGGUGUUCAUAACCCUCUAGCAUUGAAUAAUACUUUGAAUACAAUGACAUCAAUUAAGAACACUAUAAGGGAAUUCAUAAUUCAGAGAUCCAAAACAUAGAAUAUAUCCUUAACUGAUGGAAUCUAUGAGUAUGGGUAUGGGAAUGUGUUGAACUUGUAAGGACAACAUGCUCACAUGGUUUUAUUCAUGAAUUGGUAAGUUAACAUGGUAUCAACUGAACAUGAUAUGGGUGAUUGAAAUUUAAAGCAGAUAACAAUGAAAUACACAUGAGGAAACAUAUUGGCAUUGCUUGAAUUCAAAGCUACUAUGAGAACAUCGAGUAAAUUCGUACUUAACAUUGGAAUUUUAUAAAAAGAGGGAAAAAGGUGUUUAUACAUGAAAUUCAAAGGGUUCUUGGGACUCAAUGGGUGGAAGGCUAAGUUGCUCGGACUUGGCUGUUUUGCCGCCGAACCCGUCUCGACACGAGACUGAGGCAGGGACGGGUGCUUCCGCCGUCUCCGAUUCGGUCAACCAAUUUCGGAGACAUCGACCAAACUAAGGAAGAAAUUUGAGUGGAAAAAUUGAAUAAUUAAUCGGCAACUUACGUGAAAAAAUCCCGACCAACGACCACCGGAAUAGAGACGGCGUUGUCGAUGUGCCGUUGUUGGAAAUCAUCGUCAACGUCGUCGGAAAUCAUCGGUGCAGUCGUCGUACCACCUCAGGGUACGGAAAUUAUCGUCGUACCAGAAAUCGGCGCAGUUGGCGUUUACACAGUGACAGUUUUUUUUUUUUCAAGUCAAAGUGACUGUUUUAAAAUCUUUGUCGUACUGGGUUUUUUUUUUUUACUACUUUUAAUUAAUAAUUAGUUACUUUACUAUUAAUAAUUAAUUAAUCUAUUGCUAGCAGUCCAGCACUGUGUCGGUCCCUCAACAAAGAUGAUUCAUGUCGGUUAGUGUAUAUUACUUUGACAACAUUAAUUUAAGUUCUUAAUUAUAUUUAUUUUUAGUAAAUAAAUGUGAGAUAAUUUUGGAUAAAGUUUUAAAUACAAAUACUAUUCCUAAUUGAAAAGUAAAAUCAAAAGACAAAAAUAACUAAAAAUAGUAAAUUAACUAAAAUAUAUAAAUCCUAAUCCCUAUGUGUCAAGGAAACAUUAAAUUGAUUUAAAUUGGGAAAAGUCAAAAAGUAUCUUCAUCCAUAACAUUAUAAACAGAACGUCUGUUAAAAGAAAUUUUAACUUAAAAAUUUGAUUAUUCUUUAUCAAAUAAUAUGGCAUCAUCCGCAUCGGGUAGUCAAAAGGGAAAAGGUCCUAUGAGACCAACAAAAAGUAUAGGAGUAGAUUUUGAUGACAAAUCACUAUGGAAUCAUGUUAAAGUGAUUUCAGCUGCUCCCAAUAGUGGUGGAAAUAGAACAUGGUCAUGUAACUAUUGUAAUAAACAAGUUACUGGAUCAUAUAAUAGAGUUAAAGCACAUCUGUUAAGAAUAUUGGGUCAAAGAGUUCAAAUAUGUAGUGAAGUUCAAGGUGAUAAAUUGAGAAUUUUGAAGAUGGAGCACGAACAAGCUGAAAAGAAAAAAUCUUCAGUUCAAGUUGAUACAAGAAAAAAAACUGAUUAUGUAUCUCUUCCGAAGGGCACUGAUUUAUUCCAACAUAAAAAAAGAAAGUUCAGAAAGAGGAGCUAUAGGAAAAUCUUUUGGCAUCCAUAGGAGGAAUACUGCCGACAAAUUAGCGGCUAGAAUGUUCUACGCAUUAGGUUUAUCGUUCAAUCUUGCCAACUCUCCAUGCUUUAAAAAAUAUUCGAAGUUUUUAGCUGAAAAUUCCAUCCCCGAUUUUAUUCUCCCAUCCUAUGUUGCUCGGACUCGGCUGUUUUGCCGCUGAACCCGUCUCAACACGAGACUGAGGCGAGGACGGGUGCUUCCACCAUCUCUGAUUCGGUCAAAUGAUUUCGGAGCCGUUGACCAAACUAAAGAAUAAAUUUGAGGGGAAACAUCAAAUAAUUAACCGGCGACUUACCUAAAAAAUCCCGACCAACGACCAUCGAAACAGAGACGGUGUUGUCGAUGUGCUGUCGCCGUCGACGGAAAUCAUUGUCGCAGUCGCAGUCGUCGUACCUCCUCAGUCGUCUUCAGUCAUCCGUUUCUCUCACCUCAGUGACGGCAGCGUUGGACACAGUGAUGGUUUUUAAUUUUUUUGGGGGGGUCAAGGUGACGUGUUUUAUUUAUGUGUUGUUAAUAACAUAUAUUAAUAAUAUUUAUUUAUUAUUUAUAUUAACAACAAAUAUUAUUUUUAAUUAAGAGUAAAACAUGUGUAUACUUAUUCAUUAUACUUACUUUGACAGGGUUUUAUUUGUUUGUGUUGUUAAUAACAUAAUAUUAAUAUUUAAUAUUUAUAUUAACAACAGAUACUAGUAUUAUUUCUAAUAAAAAAGUAAAAUAUGUAUACUUAUUUAGUAUACUUACUUUGACAACAUUAGUUUAAAUUUUUAAUUAUACUUAUUUUUAAUAUUUUGGUAAAUAAGCGUGAAUUAUAAUUUUGAAAAAAGUUUCUAAUACAAAUACUAUUCGUAGUAUUUAAUGUUUUUUAGCCGAAUCCCCGCAGCCGUAUCCACACUCUGAUUCACACCCCCGAAUCUUAAAAUUUAUAUUUUGACGAAUCCGACUCUCGGAUCUGCACCCGUCUCGAAUACCCGCACCCGAGUCCGAGCAACUUAGCCCCCCAUCAUAUAAUAGGUCGAGAACAACUCUUUUAGAUCAAGAAAAGACUCACAUUAAUAGGAAGUUGCAACCAAUUAAAGAUAUAUGGAAAAAGAAAGGGUUGUCGAUUUGUUCGGACGACUGGUCUGACACUAAAAGACGACCUUUGAUCAAUAUAUUAGCAUCAUUUAGUUGGGGUCCAAUGUUUUUAAAUUCAAUAAAUUCUAGUGAGUGCACGAAGGGUGGAGAAUAUAUUGCUAAUUUGUUUAUUGAAGCAAUAGAGAAAGUAGGUCCAAAUAAUGUUGUUCAAGUUAUUACAAAUAACGCAAGUAAUAUGAAACUUGCCGGUACUAUGGUGGAGGAAAAAUAUCCUCAUAUAUUUUGGACUCGUUGUGUUGUUCAUUGUUUGAAUCUAGCUUUGAAAAGUAUGUGCCAACCAUUUGAUAAAUCAUCUCACUUUGCUAAUUGCCAAUGGAUCUCAGAGUUAUUUAGUGAAGUGAGUAAUUUGAAAAAUUUUGUUGUGAAUCAUGACAUGACACAUGCGAUUUUUCAAAAACAUUCAGAUUUAUGUUUAUUUAAAGUUGGUGAAACAAGAUUUGCUUCAUAUGUUAUUAUGACGACUCGUAUUUGCAAAGUGAAAUCUUCUUUAGAGAAGAUCGAUGAAUGGAAGAAUUAUAAGGGGAUAAGGGAAUUGAAGUCAAAACUCGUGAAAUAAAAUCCUUUAUAAUGAAUGAUGAAAAGUGGGAUAAUAUUGACUAUUUUUGUAAGUUUAUGGAACCUAUUGUAGAUAUGCUUAGAGAUGCCAAUCUAGAUGGUCUAAAAUUACAUCUCAUUUAUGAUAUGUGGGACUUAAUGAUUGAGAAGGUUAAAAAAAUAAUCUUUGAGCAUGAGAGGGAAGAUCUCAUUUUUGGCCAAUCAAUUUUUUUUUAUUCCAUUCAUUGUGUUCUAGUGGCUAGGUGGAACAAAAGCAACACCCCUUUACAUUGUAUGGCACAUUCUUUGGUUCCCAAAUAUUCCCAAAUACUAUCAUCAAUCAUGGCUUCAAGGAGAGAAUGGAAUUCUACGGGUAGCUCCUAAUGAAGAUUUAGAAAUUGCAUCGAAUAGAAUAAAGUGCUUUCAAAGUUACUUUGAUUCUAAUCAAAUGAAACAAGUUUCAUUGGAGUAUGGAAAAUUUUGUAGCAUGAGUGGUUAUUUUGGUGAGCCUCAUGUGAUUGAUGCUAUGGAGUAUGAAGAUCCCCUUUCUUGGUGGGGAAAUCAUGGUGUCUCGACUCCACUUUUGUAACGGUUAGCUUACAAGUUGCUUACUCAAUUGGCUUCUUCCUCCUGUUGUGAAAGAAAUCGGAGCACAUAUUCUAUGAUUCACAACAUCAAGAGAAAUAAGUUAGCAACUUCAAGAGCCGAAGAUUUAGUGUUUGUACAGUAUAAUCUACGAUUGCUAUCUCGUAAGAAAAAGAAAUAUAUAAAUGGGCCAAGCAAGUAUUGGGAUGUAGGUGGAGAUCAAUUUGAAGUUGAGGAUACAAUUAAUAAUUUAACCGAGCUAUCAAUAGAUGAACGUCAAUUGGAAGGAGUAGUUUUUGACGAAGAAUUUGAAGAUUUGGAAGAAUUUGAAGAAGAUGCGGAAGAGUAGUUAACUUAAGUAACUUGAUAAUGGACAUUUUUUUUUGUUCUAUUAUUUUUGAAUUGAUGUCUUAAGUUGGGAUGUUUUCUUGUGUUUGUUUAAUAAAGUAUUUUUAGAAUAUC